rnacentral:rRNA from 1 species
AGAGUUUGAUCCUGGCUCAGGAUCCUUUUUGGCGGCGUGCUUAACACAUGCAAGUCGAACGAAGCACUUAAACCUGAUUCUUCGGAUGAAGGUUUUUGUGACUGAGUGGCGGACGGGUGAGUAACGCGUGGGUAACCUGCCUCAUACAGGGGGAUAACAGUUAGAAAUGACUGCUAAUACCGCAUAAGACCACGGAGCCGCAUGGCUCAGUGGGAAAAACUCCGGUGGUAUGAGAUGGACCCGCGUCUGAUUAGGUAGUUGGUGGGGUAACGGCCUACCAAGCCAACGAUCAGUAGCCGACCUGAGAGGGUGACCGGCCACAUUGGGACUGAGACACGGCCCAAACUCCUACGGGAGGCAGCAGUGGGGAAUAUUGCACAAUGGGGGAAACCCUGAUGCAGCGACGCCGCGUGAGCGAAGAAGUAUUUCGGUAUGUAAAGCUCUAUCAGCAGGGAAGAAAAUGACGGUACCUGACUAAGAAGCACCGGCUAAAUACGUGCCAGCAGCCGCGGUAAUACGUAUGGUGCAAGCGUUAUCCGGAUUUACUGGGUGUAAAGGGAGCGUAGACGGCUGUGUAAGUCUGAAGUGAAAGCCCGGGGCUCAACCCCGGGACUGCUUUGGAAACUAUGCAGCUAGAGUGUCGGAGAGGUAAGUGGAAUUCCCAGUGUAGCGGUGAAAUGCGUAGAUAUUGGGAGGAACACCAGUGGCGAAGGCGGCUUACUGGACGAUGACUGACGUUGAGGCUCGAAAGCGUGGGGAGCAAACAGGAUUAGAUACCCUGGUAGUCCACGCCGUAAACGAUGACUAAAAGGCGUCGGGGAGCAAAGCUCUUCGGGUCCCCCAACCAAACGCAAUUAGUAGUCCCACCUGGGGAGUACGUUUGCAGGAAUGAAACUCAAAGGAAUUGCGUGGGACCCCGCACAAGCGGUGGUGCUUGUGGUUUAAUUCGAAGCAACGCGAAGAACCUUACCUGCUCUCGACAUCCCGGUGACCGGCAUGUAAUGAUGCCUUUUCUUCGGAACACCGGUGACAGGUGGUGCAUGGUUGUCGUCAGCUCGUGUCGUGAGAUGUUGGGUUAAGUCCCGCAACGAGCGCAACCCUUAUCUUCAGUAGCCAGCAUUUUGGAUGGGCACUCUGGAGAGACUGCCAGGGAUAACCUGGAGGAAGGUGGGGAUGACGUCAAAUCAUCAUGCCCCUUAUGAGCAGGGCUACACACGUGCUACAAUGGCGUAAACAAAGGGAAGCGAGCCUGCGAGGGUAAGCAAAUCUCAAAAAUAACGUCUCAGUUCGGAUUGUAGUCUGCAACUCGAAAACAU